UACGUAGGAUCCGAGCGUUGUCCGGAAUUACUGGGUGUAAAGGGCGUGUAGGUGGGUCUCUAAGUCGAUGGUGAAAUCCUGCAGCUCAACUGUAGAAUUGCCGUCGAUACUGGAGGUCUUGAGUGCGGCAGAGGGAGACGGAAUUCAUGGUGUAGCGGUGAAAUGUGUAGAUAUCAUGAAGAACACCGGUUGCGAAGGCGGUCUCCUGGCCCGUUACUGACACUGAGGCGCGAAAGCGUGGGGAGCAACCAGG
rnacentral:rRNA from 1 species